AAAGAAAAUCUGGGGUAGAGCACUGUGUAAGUAAAGGGGAGAUUAUCUCUUACUGAACUUUUGCAAACUCCGAAUACAGAUUUAUUCAUUCAGGGCAGACAGAGUAUGUAUGCAAAGAUUCAUACUCAAAAGGGAAACAGCCCAGACUGUAGGUUAAGGUCCACAAAAUAGUUUCAGUGGUAAAGGUGAUAUUUGCUCUGAGACCGUCAGGAGGUAGGCUUGGAAGCAGCCAUUCUUUUAAGACAGCGUAACAGCUCACUGACCUAGAGCAAAAGUCCCGCCAAUUUUGAGGGCUUAAAACUAUUACCGAAUCCUCAGAUAAAAGUUUUAAAUACACUUUUAUGGUAGCAGAACUUUCCGUAGGUCGUAAAAGCUAUGGCGUAAGCUAUUGUGAAGAUAUCGGAAGCGAGAAUACUUGCAUGAGUAGCAUAAAACAAUAAAAUUAAAGUAUUGUAGCCGUAAGUCCAAGGUUUACGAUCCUAAGUAAAGCUAGGUCGUGAGAGGUUAAAACCUCGAAUUAAAACGGUCCCUAAGCUAGCAAGCCAAAGCUUGCGGUAAUGGGUAAGAUUAAACUGUUAAAGGUUGCUGACGAAAAAUUCACUUUAUCUUUGAAUUUUGUCAAAGGUAAAUUAUUUUUUCCAAGAAAAAGGCACUUUAUUUAAAACCGUACCUUAAACCGCCACAGGUGGACAGGUGGAGCACACUAAGGCUUUGAGAUAACCUUGUUGAAGGAACUCGGCAAAAUGACUCUGUAACUUCGGAAUAAGGAGUAAAAAUAUGGAGCGCAAGCUCUUAUUUUUGGCACAAAAUCGGGGGUAGCGACUGUUUAUUAAAAACACAGGUCUCUGCUAACUCGCAAGAGGAUGUAUAGGGACUGACACCUGCCCGGUGCCGGUAGGUAAAGCUUUGAUGUUUACGCAUUGAGGUCAAACCCCGGUAAACGGCGGCUGUAACUAUGACGGUCCUAAGGUAGCGAAAUUCCUUGUCGGGUAAGUUCCGACCCGCAUGAAUGGUGUAACGACUUCCCCGCUGUCUCCAACAGGGACUCAGUGAAAUUACAUAGGUCGUGAAGAUGCGACCAUCCUGCAGCUGGACGGAAAGACCCCGUGCACCUUUACUAUAAGCAAGCAUUGUAAUUCAAAGACUUAAGUGUAGAAUAAGUGGGAGUUUAUGACUUUUUUUCGCCAGAGAUUAACGAGGCAAUAGUGAAAUACCACUCCGAGAUCUGUUGACUUACUAACUACGGGACAGUGUUUGCUGGGUAGUUUGACUGGGGCGGUCGCCUCCUAAAGAGUAACGGAGGCAUACAAAGGUAGGCUCAUCUCCCUAUAAGGAGAAUCGAGUAUAAUGGCAAAAGCCUGCUUGACUGUAAGAAAGACAUUUCGAUCAGGGACGUAAGUCGGUCAUAGUGAUCCGGUAGUUCUUUGUGGAAAGGCUAUCGCGCAAUGGAUAAAAGGUACGCCGGGGAUAACAGGCUAAUGAUCCUCUAGAGCCCCUAUCGACGGGUUCGUUUGGCACCUCGAUGUCGACUCAUCACAUCCUGGAGCUGGAAAAGGUUCCAAGGGUUCGGCUGUUCGCCGACGAAAGUGGUACGUGAGUUGGGUUUAGAACGUCGUGAGACAGUUUGGUCCCUAUCUUCUGUAGGUGUUUGAAAAUUCCGAGGACUAAACCUUAGUACGAGAGGACCGGGAAAACUCGAUCCCUUGUGUUCCGGUUGUUCCCAAAGGAGCAACGCCGGGUAGCUACAUCGAGAAGAGAUAAUCGACCUUUAGGCGAGAAACUCUCCUCAAGUUAAAUUUUCAUAGGGGAGUGGAAGAUUACCACUUUGAUAGGCGAGAAGUGUAAGAGCUGUAAAGUUUUUAGCUGACUCGUACUAAUACCCAAAAAUUUUGGGC
rnacentral:rRNA from 1 species